GCCUGGGUGGCUCAGUUGGUUAAGCAUCCGACUUUGGCUCAGGUCAUGAUCUAGCAGUUUGUGGGUUCAAACCCCACAUCUGGCU
rnacentral:tRNA from 1 species